rnacentral:rRNA from 1 species
CCUACGGGAGGCUGCAGUAGGGAAUCUUCCGCAAUGGACGAAAGUCUGACGGAGCAACGCCGCGUGAGCGAAGAAGGUCUUCGGAUCGCAAAGCUCUGUUGUCGGAGAAGAACAAGUACGGUAGGAAAUGGCAGUACAUUGACGGUACCCGACGAGAAAGCCACGGCUAACUACGUGCCAGCAGCCGCGGUCAUACGUAGGAGGUAAGCGUUGUCCGGAAUUAUUGGGCGUAAAGCGCGCGCAGGCGGUCCUUUAAGUCUGAUGUGAAAUCGUGCGGCUCAACCGCAAGCGGUCAUUGGAAACUGGGGGACUUGAGUGUAGAAGAGGAAGGCGGAAUUCCACGUGUAGCGGUGAAAUGCGUAGAGAUGUGGGGGAACACCAGUGGCGAAGGCGGCUUUCUGGUCUGUAACUGACGCUGAGGCGCGAAAGCGUGGGGAGCAGACAGGAUUAGAUACCCUGGUAGUC